GACGAACGCUGGCGGCGUGCCUAAUACAUGCAAGUAGAACGCACAGUUUAUACCGUAGCUUGCUACACCAUAGACUGUGAGUUGCGAACGGGUGAGUAACGCGUAGGUAACCUGCCUGGUAGCGGGGGAUAACUAUUGGAAACGAUAGCUAAUACCGCAUAAUAUUAAUUAUUGCAUGAUAAUUAAUUGAAAGGUGCAAUUGCACCACUACCAGAUGGACCUGCGUUGUAUUAGCUAGUAGGUGAGGUAACGGCUCACCUAGGCGACGAUACAUAGCCGACCUGAGAGGGUGAUCGGCCACACUGGGACUGAGACACGGCCCAGACUCCUACGGGAGGCAGCAGUAGGGAAUCUUCGGCAAUGGACGAAAGUCUGACCGAGCAACGCCGCGUGAGUGAAGAAGGUUUUCGGAUCGUAAAGCUCUGUUGUAAGAGAAGAACGGGUGUGAGAGUGGAAAGUUGACACUGUGACGGUAUCUUACCAGAAAGGGACGGCUAACUACGUG
rnacentral:rRNA from 1 species